GACGGAUGGGGCUAGCGUUGUUCGGAAUUACUGGGCGUAAAGGGCGCGUAGGCGGCCACUUAAGUUAGACGUGAAAGCCCUAGGCUUAACCUAGGAACUGCGUUUAAUACUGGGUGGCUAGAGUUUGGCAGAGGAAAGCGGAAUUCCUAGUGUAGAGGUGAAAUUCGUAGAUAUUAGGAAGAACACCAGAGGCGAAGGCGGCUUUCUGGACCAACACUGACGCUGAGGCGCGAAAGCGUGGGGAGCAAACAGG
rnacentral:rRNA from 2 species